rnacentral:rRNA from 1 species
AGACCCGAAACCCGGUGAUCUAGCCAUGGGCAGGUUGAAGGUUGGGUAACACUAACUGGAGGACCGAACCGACUAAUGUUGAAAAAUUAGCGGAUGACCUGUGGCUGGGGGUGAAAGGCCAAUCAAACCGGGAGAUAGCUGGUUCUCCCCGAAAGCUAUUUAGGUAGCGCCUCGUGAAUUCAUCUCCGGGGGUAGAGCACUGUUUCGGCUAGGGGGCCAUCCCGGCUUACCAACCCGAUGCAAACUGCGAAUACCGGAGAAUGUUAUCACGGGAGACACACGGCGGGUGCUAACGUCCGUCGUGAAGAGGGAAACAACCCAGACCGCCAGCUAAGGUCCCAAAGUCAUGGUUAAGUGGGAAACGAUGUGGGAAGGCCCAGACAGCCAGGAUGUUGGCUUAGAAGCAGCCAUCAUUUAAAGAAAGCGUAAUAGCUCACUGGUCGAGUCGGCCUGCGCGGAAGAUGUAACGGGGCUAAACCAUGCACCGAAGCUGCGGCAGCGACACUGUGUGUUGUUGGGUAGGGGAGCGUUCUGUAAGCCUGUGAAGGUGGCCUGUGAGGGUUGCUGGAGGUAUCAGAAGUGCGAAUGCUGACAUAAGUAACGAUAAAGCGGGUGAAAAGCCCGCUCGCCGGAAGACCAAGGGUUCCUGUCCAACGUUAAUCGGGGCAGGGUGAGUCGACCCCUAAGGCGAGGCCGAAAGGCGUAGUCGAUGGGAAACGGGUUAAUAUUCCCGUACUUGGUGUUACUGCGAAGGGGGGACG